ACACUCCUGCGGGAGGCAGCAGUGGGGAAUCUUGCGCAAUGGGCGAAAGCCUGACGCAGCCAUGCCGCGUGAAUGAUGAAGGUCUUAGGAUUGUAAAAUUCUUUCACCGGGGACGAUAAUGACGGUACCCGGAGAAGAAGCCCCGGCUAACUUCGUGCCAGCAGCCGCGGUAAUACGAAGGGGGCUAGCGUUGCUCGGAAUUACUGGGCGUAAAGGGAGCGUAGGCGGACAUUUAAGUCAGGGGUGAAAUCCCGGGGCUCAACCUCGGAAUUGCCUUUGAUACUGGGUGUCUUGAGUAUGAGAGAGGUGUGUGGAACUCCGAGUGUAGAGGUGAAAUUCGUAGAUAUUCGGAAGAACACCAGUGGCGAAGGCGACACACUGGCUCAUUACUGACGCUGAGGCUCGAAAGCGUGGGGAGCAAACAGGAUUAGAUACCCUUGUAGUCCCAUGAU
rnacentral:rRNA from 1 species